UGUUUACGUUUCACACUGCCAC
rnacentral:siRNA from 1 species